AACGAACGCUGGCGGCAGGCUUAACACAUGCAAGUCGAGCGCCCCGCAAGGGGAGCGGCAGACGGGUGAGUAACGCGUGGGAAUCUACUCUUCACUACGGAACAACUCCGGGAAACUGGAGCUAAUACCGUAUACGUCCUUCGGGAGAAAGAUUUAUCGGUGAUGGAUGAGCCCGCGUUGGAUUAGCUAGUUGGUGGGGUAAUGGCCUACCAAGGCGACGAUCCAUAGCUGGUCUGAGAGGAUGAUCAGCCACAUUGGGACUGAGACACGGCCCAAACUCCUACGGGAGGCAGCAGUGGGGAAUAUUGGACAAUGGGCGAAAGCCUGAUCCAGCCAUGCCGCGUGAGUGAUGAAGGCCCUAGGGUUGUAAAGCUCUUUCACCGGUGAAGGUAAUGACGGUAACCGGAGAAGAAGCCCCGGCUAACUUCGUGCCAGCCGCCGCGGUAAAAC
rnacentral:rRNA from 1 species